CAACACAUAGCUUAACCUUAAAGCAUUCAGCUUACACCUGAAAAAUGCCUAAUGACUAGGCUGUUUUGA
rnacentral:tRNA from 1 species